UAUUUGUAGAGUGAGAGUCGAUGACCUCCUAGUGAAGCCACAUAUUAAAUGUCCCCCAACCGAUUCAUUCCCCCAAAACUCAUUUAAUUUCACUCAUAUCCAAUUUAUUUUACCCUAACACAUUUUAUUUCACCCACUCGUUUAAUUUCUAUAAGAACACUAAAACCUAAUUAACAAUUUCGACCGUAAAUUGAAGAAUGUGGUAAAGAUUUCUUCAAUUUUAUACUAUUUUUGAGUCAUCCUUCCAGUGCUAAUCGUUUAAUAGAGGUUUCACUGUCAUAUUGGAGAAAGUUGGUAUUAUAUGGAGGAGUUCAUUGUUUGGUGGAAGAAAAUCUGUCUUUACUAGGGUUUGGUGGAGCAUCUAUUGUAUCGUCUCCAUCUAUAAAAGGCCAGCCACACAUCUCAUUAUUUCUAUUUUUUCAUACAAUUAGCCUAGGAUUUAUUCAUAUUUCAUAUUUUUUUCAAGUUUAUAGUAUGUCAUCUAUAUGAUUCCCCUUUGUUGUUGUAUCUAUUUUGUCGUGGUUAUGGGUCAACUGUGAUUGGAAAACAUGACUUGUAAAUACCGUUUUCAGGAUUUUUCAAAAAAAAAUUAAAUUGAUUAUUUUGAUGUUUUAUGAGGUGGGUAGUAUGAAGAAGGAAAAAAGGAAAACAAGGGGAAAAAAAUCAUAUUAUGAUAGAUAAAUUACUGAGGUUUUAGGUAUUGAUAUAAAUAUGUUGUCUUCUUUUGAAUUGUGAGAUUAUGUGAAAAAGUUAGGGUAUGAAUCUGAACAAUGUCUACUAUACAUGAAAUUGCCUAGAAUUAUGUCACGCCCCGAGCCUACACCCUGGGCGUGGCCGGCACUCGAGAAGCAUUGUUGGCCCCAAGUGAACCCUUGUCCUGACUCACUUUAUCAACAGAAGACUUUAAGCAUAAAGAAAAGGAUUCAAAAGCUAAAUAACUUAACUGUCUCAACUGAAUUCAUAAUUCUUUUUUUUAACUAAAUAUUUAACUUAGCCAAAGUGGCAACUCAAAUAUGAAGAUAAGCCAAUAACAAGAUAAUGACGAAUAAACUAACAUUUGACUGACUAUCUAUGAAGCCUCUAAAAUAACUGAUAUGGAUGUUGGAACAAAUCCUGCGACAUCCUAAUGAACUAAUAUAAUAACUGAAAGAAAUAAAAACGAGCCCUCCAGAAUGCAAGGAGGCUCACCAACUGACUCUGGAUUGCUCACUGGAUCAACGAUGCGCUGCUUUGAUGAUCCUGGUUACCUGCGUCUGUAUCAUAAGAUAAUGCGGGUCAACUAGAAUCAGUACAUUGAAUGUAUGAGUACGCGAGUUGGAGUGCUAAAUACAACAUAGGCUUGAAAAGAAUCUGAAAGAAACUGAAGAACUUACCUGGCUCAACUCAAUUUAACAUAACUUAACUCAUGCCAAUAUAAAACAGUUUAAAACAAGUGAACUAUAAAGAAAAGCUUUAAAACAUGGUUUUCAACUCUGUGUAUUUAGAAAUACAAUAAUUACUCUCUAUGCAUGCAAAGAUACAAUAUAAACUCUGUUUGUAUAUAAAAAUACAAAUAUAUCAGAUGUAUAUAAAAAUACAAAGUACUGUUGUGGGAAUUUCUCUAACCAACAAUCAUCACAUAAGAGCUAUAGCGAUGAUACAAAGAUCUACCUCACACUGUUAGCGCAUCCUAUACCUGGCCAAAGAUAUAGCUUAUGAACUACCUAAUUAAUCCGCUAGUCUAUUGUGAAAAGGAUUCAUCUAAAAAGUAUGACCCUUCUCUACCCAUGGUGGCAACAUGGUUUUAUGGAGACGUGAGUUAUGUGAACUCAUGCUCGUCCCCAGUUCGGUGCUCAAUACUACUCCCAAAAUAUACUGGAUCUUAAGUCAUUAAAAUAUACUUCUUCUGUGAUUAGAGAUUAAUGCUCAAAAACUUAGCUCAAAGGCUAUCUUGGAAAUCUCAGUUUCCCUACUUGCUUCAUUUAGAAAGUUAUUACUUUUUUUUUUUGAAAACUAGCCGGAAUGCUCUUUGGAAAUUUCAGUUUUGCUGCUUGCUUCAUUUAGAAAGUUAUUACUUUUUAUUGAAAACUAGUCCGGAGGCUCUUUGGAGAUCUCAGUUUCCUCUUGCUUAGUUGUGAAAGCAUCUACUCUUUAACUGAAAACAAGCUCAAAGGUUCUUUACUGAAAAACUAGUCCAAAGGCUUUUUAUUGAAAAACUAGCUCAAAGGCUCUUUUGGAAAUCAAAGUUUCUUUACUUGAUUAAAUGUGAAAACAUUUUAAACUCUUUGGGAAUACAUAAUUUCCAUAUACUUUUGAAGAACUGAACUUUAACUUUACUCUAUACUGAAUUCAAAAUUCAAGUUUUAAAACAAAGUUAAAACGUUUGUAAAAGACUUUUGACAAACUUUAAGAAAUUAUCUUGACUUAACUUUUGACUUCUUCACAUGACUUUUAACUUCUUGACUUGACUCUUACUUUUCUUGAUAGAAAGAACAAGGUUCUUGAAAAAUCUUGGAUAAGAACUUGAAUAGAAACCUUGAAACCCUAGCUUGAAGGUAAAUGAUCAAGUUAACUUUUUUUGAGAUUCUUGAAUUAGUUUAUUGGAAUCUAUAUGGCCAAGAAUUUAUGAUUUUCAUUUAUAAAGAUGAAAAUCUGAUUGUUUUGAACCUUUUAUUAGUCAAGAAAUUCUUUCAGAGAUUUCUUGGAGGUACAAAAAACAAAAACAACCCUUUUUCAUAUUUUUCCGUCAGCUCAUUUGUAACAACACUAUAUCAGUUACUAAAAUAGUCACAACUUUUUACUCAAAAAUCGGAUUGAUAGCAAAAUUGGUGGCGUUGGAAAGUAGAGUCAAUUACCUUUAACUGAAUAAUUUAUGACUCACGUAACUCUUUAUAUUCUAAGAGAUAUGAUUGUUUAAAGUUGACACAAGUAGAAUAGUACAUCAAAACUUAGAAACUUUAAGAACUCAUCAAGAACUAAAAUGCUUAAAUCUAAAGAACGAAAUUACAUUGAAUAAAUAACGAUUGGCGCGUGAGUGAAUGAAUUCAACACUAUGAAAGGUCACAUAAAUUUUUAGGGAUCACCCGACGAAAUCCACAAGUUAACUUUGACGAUCUUGACGAAUCCUGAACGCCCUUCUCUUUUCUCCUCUUCUUUUCUCUUCUCUAAUUACUCUAACUCUUUUGAUCUAAUUCAGAUUAUACCCCUAAUUAAUUACCAAAAAUGAAAUAAAUUAAUAGGGUAAGAGAAAGACCAAACUAUCCCUUCAAAAUCCGAAUUGGACUUUCUUUAUUCCAACAGCCCAACUUUCAAAGGGCAUAAUUCACUCAUACAACUCGGAAUCGCACAAACUCGGAGACGUUGGAUAGAUCAUUCCAAGGGGUUUCCAUUCAAAUAUGGAACUACAUCUAAAUCACUUGAGCUAGGAGUUAUGAACGUUUGAAGUUAACCAAAAACCUCACUUUUAACUUACUUAAAAUUUUCAUAUUUCCUUAUACUUUCUAAAAAUAAAUAUUUUCAGAUUUUACACUUCCUUAUAGUUCUUUCUAGGUGCGAGAUGUUACAAAUUAAGUACUGUUAUAUUAGAAAUGGAAUCUAACUAGGAUACCAGUUUAAUUGUUGAAUGUAUUAGUGAUGGAGACAUUUUGGAGGCAUCUGUCUGUCACUUGAUUGCAAAUCAGAUCCUAUUCUAGUCUCAUCUUCAUUGAAAUGUGGAGAAAAUAAAUUAAUUCAAGAUUUUCGAUGAACCAAAGAGAUGAUGAACCAAGCUGAAGAGAGGUGAAGAUAGCUGAAGAACCGAUUCUCCUUUCUGAUACACGCUGAAGAGUUGAGUUGAAGAGUUGCAGUCAUCAAAGAACUCAUAUCUCAAGUCGUCUUCUCCAAAUAACAAUUUUUUGAAGAGCAAGAAUGAAUAUUUUUGGAUUGUUGGCAAGAUGAUGAAUUGAAGCUAAUUAGUCUCUCUGUCACACUUUUCUCUCAAGUUUCUCACUGAAGAACACAAUUUCAAACAGAUUUUGUUGGAGUAGGUUUUAUCAGUUUUCCCAAUCUUUGUUCGAGUUUGUGAUUCUGCCCGGAAUUCUCAUUCGUUGUUAGUGUUCAAGUUUCUUGGUGAAGAUCGUUUCCCUGCUCGUCCCGUUCCAGUUCACUGCCUGAAGAAAGACCUCACUCGAAGAGCUGAAGGACGGAAGCUGAAGAACU